rnacentral:rRNA from 1 species
UACGGAGGGGGCUAGCGUUGUUCGGAAUUACUGGGCGUAAAGAGCGCGCAGGCGGUCGUGCAAGUCGCGUGUGAAAGCCCCCGGCUCAACUGGGGAGGGUCACGCGAUACUGCUCGACUCGAAGGCAGGAGAGGGAAGUGGAAUUCCCGGUGUAGUGGUGAAAUGCGUAGAUAUCGGGAGGAACACCAGUGGCGAAGGCGACUUCCUGGCCUGUUCUUGACGCUGAGGCGCGAAAGCUAGGGUAGCAAACGGG